ensembl:lncRNA
AGUUUCUGUGCUGUCACCCCUUGCUCAUGCAGCUCACAGGGCAGCAGCUGCUGAGAAGCAAGAGGGAAGCUUUUCUGCCUGGGCUCCGGCUACAAAGAAGGCAAUGCUAAUUGCCCAGAGCAGACAGAGCUUGUGCUAGCUCGUGCUCAAGCUGUGGGAAAAGUCAGGUUUUUAUCCGUGCGCGAUUUUAUCCUAAUGGGACUGCUACUGGGAGAAUCCACUUAUCUUGCACCCACCUGUGACAAGCAUAAUCAGGAGACUGAGAUCACUGUGAAUUUGCACCAAAUGCAACAAGAAAGAGGGAACAGCUGCGACAAGGUUUUCUGAUGUGGAGUGAAAGGGCUUUGAAGCUGCUUUGUGUCCCCAGGUCUCCUUCUAUCUCACAUAAAAGAGAUGACUGCAAAUGCAGCACCUCAAAAGGAACUGGCUCUGAACUGCUCAUCACCUAGGGAAAAUGUACUAACAGGCUCUUGAGAACAAACUGCAGAGAGAAAUUGGCAACUGUAGAGCUGAUAAAACUAUGCAGGUACCAUGAGUAUGCUGGGGUUUGUAAAACAUGCUGUUUUUCAGAAAUUCCAGAAGAAAACUGCUGCAAAAUUGUGAUCCUUCUUUGUUACAUAUUGUACAUUUUAGGUCAACAGUGUACUCUGUAAUCCUUUCAUCCUGUGAAAAGACCCCAGAGAUUGAGUCAAUAGGCUUGGUUGGGAAUAAUACAGUUUCUCUGAUCC